GUCAAUCCUUUCCACAAGAAGCAACUGAAGAACGGUCAGUUUGUGGAAUCAUUCCGCACCCCCCCCACCUCACUUCAUUUUUCUACGUCUUUUUAUUGUAGACUGUAGCCCUCUGGUUUAGGAGACAAAUGGGAAGAUUUCCUGGGGGUGGGGGCUUGCCGUAGCUGAGACCUUGCCGACUCUUUCCAGACCGGUUGAAUCCAGAUGUGUGGGGAGUCUUGGCAGCAGCUCUGGCAGAAGCUGAUGACACUAAGCAACGGAGACUCCAGAGCACAGCUACUUUGAUGGAAGACAUCAUAAAGAUCAGAGAGGUGAGGACCUCAUACUUGCUUCCACUUCUGGAUUGGCUUUCUGUAAUCAAGACUGAAUGUAGGCAUUGACCGGGCUUCAUCAGAGUAGUCUG